UACGGAGGGAGCGAGCGUUGUUCGGAAUUACUGGGCGUAAAGCGUGCGCAGGCGGCUAGAUAAGUCAGAAGUGAAAUCCCAGGGCUCAACCUUGGAAUUGCUUUUGAAACUAUUUAGCUUGAGUAUCGGAGAGGUUGGCGGAAUUCCCAGUGUAGAGGUGAAAUUCGUAGAUAUUGGGAGGAACACCAGUGGCGUAAGCGGCCAACUAGACGAUAACUGACGCUCAGGCACGAAAGUGUGGGGAUCAAACAGGAUUAGAUACCCUGGUAGUCCACACCGUAAACGAUGUGUGCUAGCUGCUGGACAGCUUGCUGUUCAGUGGCGCAGCUAACGCACUAAGCACACCGCCUGGGGAGUACGGUCGCAAGAUUAAA
rnacentral:rRNA from 1 species